AUGCAAGUAGGACGCACAGUUUAUACCGUAGCUUGCUACACCAUAGACUGUGAGUUGCGAACGGGUGAGUAACGCGUAGGUAACCUGCCUAUUAGAGGGGGAUAACUAUUGGAAACGAUAGCUAAUACCGCAUAACAGUAUGUAACACAUGUUAGAUGCUUGAAAGAUGCAAUUGCAUCGCUAGUAGAUGGACCUGCGUUGUAUUAGCUAGUAGGUAGGGUAAUGGCCUACCUAGGCGACGAUACAUAGCCGACCUGAGAGGGUGAUCGGCCACACUGGGACUGAGACACGGCCCAGACUCCUACGGGAGGCAGCAGUAGGGAAUCUUCGGCAAUGGGGGGAACCCUGACCGAGCAACGCCGCGUGAGUGAAGAAGGUUUUCGGAUCGUAAAGCUCUGUUGUUAAGGAAGAACGAGUGUGAGAAUGGAAAGUUCAUACUGUGACGGUACUUAACCAGAAAGGGACGGCUAACUACGUGCCAGCAGCCGCGGUAAUACGUAGGUCCCGAGCGUUGUCCGGAUUUAUUGGGCGUAAAGCGAGCGCAGGCGGUUAGAAAAGUCUGAAGUGAAAGGCAGUGGCUCAACCAUUGUAGGCUUUGGAAACUGUUUAACUUGAGUGCAGAAGGGGAGAGUGGAAUUCCAUGUGUAGCGGUGAAAUGCGUAGAUAUAUGGAGGAACACCGGUGGCGAAAGCGGCUCUCUGGUCUGUAACUGACGCU
rnacentral:rRNA from 1 species